rnacentral:rRNA from 1 species
UACGUAGGGGGCAAGCGUUGUCCGGAUUUAUUGGGCGUAAAGAGCUCGUAGGUGGUUCGGUAAGUCGGGUGUUAAACCCCCAGGCUCAACCUGGGGACGCCACUCGAUACUGCUGUGACUUGAGUCCGGUAGGGGAGCGUGGAAUUCCUGGUGUAGCGGUGAAAUGCGCAGAUAUCAGGAGGAACACCAGCGGCGAAGGCGGCGCUCUGGGCCGGUACUGACACUGAGGAGCGAAAGCGUGGGUAGCAAACAGG